rnacentral:rRNA from 1 species
GCAGGUGGUUUGUUAAGUCUAGAUGUGAAAGCCCGGGGCUCAACCUCGGAAUUGCAUUUGAAACUGGCAGACUAGAGUACUGUAGAGGGGGUAGAAUUUCAGGUGUAGCGGUGAAAAUGCGUAGAGAUCUGAAGGAAUACCGGUGGCGAAGGCGGCCCCCUGGACAGAUACUGACACUCAGAUGCGAAAGCGUGGGGAAGCAAACAGGAUUAGAUACCCUGGUAG